rnacentral:rRNA from 1 species
UAAGGAAUAUUGGACAAUGGGGGCAACCCUGAUCCAGCCAUGCCGCGUGAAGGAUGAAGGCGCUCUGCGUCGUAAACUUCUUUUAGUUGGGAAAAAUUGUUGGGUUUCUACCCGACUUGAUUGUACCAAAAGAAUAAGGACCGGCUAACUUCGUGCCAGCAGCCGCGGUAAUACGAAGGGUCCAAGCGUUAUCCGGAUUUAUUGGGUUUAAAGGGUGCGUAGGCGGAUUAUUAAGUCAGUGGUGAAAGCUCCAUGCUUAACAUGGAAAUUGCCAUUGAUACUGAUGAUCUUGAGUACACUUGAAGUGGGCGGAAUAUGUCAUGUAGAGGUGAAAUUCUUAGAGAUGACAUAGAACACCGAUUGCGAAGGCAGCUCACUAAAUUGUAACUGACGCUGAGGCACGAAAGCGUGGGGAUCAAACAGGAUUAGAUACCCGGGUAGUCC